rnacentral:rRNA from 1 species
GACGUAGGGCGCGAGCGUUGUCCGGAUUUAUUGGGCGUAAAGAGCUCGUAGGCGGCUUGUCGCGUCGACUGUGAAGCCCGCGGCUCAACCGCGGGUCUGCAGUCGAUACGGGCAGGCUAGAGUUCGGUAGGGGAGACUGGAAUUCCUGGUGUAGCGGUGAAAUGCGCAGAUAUCAGGAGGAACACCGAUGGCGAAGGCAGGUCUCUGGGCCGAUACUGACGCUGAGGAGCGAAAGCGUGGGGAGCGAACAGG